CCGAGCCAGCGGGAUCUGGUCGUGCACGAUCACGCAAGAGAAUGUCCCACGGUGCGCGGGCUGCACCGGCCGGAUCCGCGCCAGGUCAUGAUCUCAGGGUUGUGAGAUCAAACCCUGCGUUGGGCUCUGCACUCAACACGGAUUCUGCUUGGGAUUCUCUCUCUCCCUUGGCCCCUUCCGGUGCUCUCUGUCUGAACUGUGUCCCUCCCAAACUCAUAAUGUUGAAGCCCUAACCCCCAGGACCUCAGAAUGUGACUGUACUUGGAUAUACAGCCUUAAAGAGGUAAUUAAGUUAUAAUUAGGCCAUUAGGGUGGGCCCUGAUCCAGUGUGACUGAUUGCCCUAUAAGAGGAGAUCUGGACACUGACACACCGAGGGGAGAACAUGUGAAGACACAGGAGAGAGAGAAGAUGGACAUCUACAAGCCAGAGAGAAAGGCCUGAGAAGGAACCAACCCUGCUUCAUCUUGGACUUCUAGCCUUCAGAAUUGUGAACAAAUACAUUUCUACCUUUUAAGCAA